rnacentral:rRNA from 1 species
UACAGAGGGGGCAAGCGUUGUUCGGAAUUACUGGGCGUAAAGGGCGCGUAGGCGGCCUUGUCAGUCAGGCGUGAAAGCCCCGGGCUCAACCUGGGAACGGCGCUUGGGACGGCGAGGCUGGAGUUCGGGAGAGGAGAGUGGAAUUCCCAGUGUAGAGGUGAAAUUCGUAGAUAUUCGCAAGAACACCAGUGGCGAAGGCGGCUCACUGGCCCGGUACUGACGCUGAGGUGCGAAAGCGUGGGGAGCAAACAGG